rnacentral:rRNA from 1 species
GGGCCCGCACAAGCGGUGGAGCAUGUGGUUUAAUUCGAUGCAACGCGAAGAACCUUACCUACUCUUGACAUCCAGAGAACUUUUCAGAGAUGAAUUGGUGCCUUCGGGAACUCUGAGACAGGUGCUGCAUGGCUGUCGUCAGCUCGUGUUGUGAAAUGUUGGGUUAAGUCCCGCAACGAGCGCAACCCUUAUCCUUGUUUGCCAGCACGUAAUGGUGGGAACUCCAGGGAGACUGCCGGUGAUAAACCGGAGGAAGGUGGGGACGACGUCAAGUCAUCAUGGCCCUUACGAGUAGGGCUACACACGUGCUACAAUGGCGCAUACAGAGGGCGGCCAACCAGCGAUGGUGAGCGAAUCCCAAAAAGUGCGUCGUAGUCCGGAUUGGAGUCUGCAACUCGACUCCAUGAAGUCGGAAUCGCUAGUAA